rnacentral:rRNA from 1 species
UACGAAGGGGGCUAGCGUUGCUCGGAAUCACUGGGCGUAAAGGGUGCGUAGGCGGGUCUUUAAGUCGGGGGUGAAAUCCUGGAGCUCAACUCCAGAACUGCCUUCGAUACUGGAAGACUUGAGUCCGGGAGAGGUGAGUGGAACUGCGAGUGUAGAGGUGAAAUUCGUAGAUAUUCGCAAGAACACCAGUGGCGAAGGCGGCUCACUGGCCCGGUACUGACGCUGAGGUGCGAAAGCGUGGGGAGCAAACAGGAUU